GCAGGCCUAACACAUGCAAGUCGAGCGGAUGAGAAGAGCUUGCUCUUCGAUUCAGCGGCGGACGGGUGAGUAAUGCCUAGGAAUCUGCCUGGUAGUGGGGGACAACGUUUCGAAAGGAACGCUAAUACCGCAUACGUCCUACGGGAGAAAGCAGGGGACCUUCGGGCCUUGCGCUAUCAGAUGAGCCUAGGUCGGAUUAGCUAGUUGGUGAGGUAAUGGCUCACCAAGGCGACGAUCCGUAACUGGUCUGAGAGGAUGAUCAGUCACACUGGAACUGAGACACGGUCCAGACUCCUACGGGAGGCAGCAGUGGGGAAUAUUGGACAAUGGGCGAAAGCCUGAUCCAGCCAUGCCGCGUGUGUGAAGAAGGUCUUCGGAUUGUAAAGCACUUUAAGUUGGGAGGAAGGGCAUUAACCUAAUACGUUAGUGUUUUGACGUUACCGACAGAAUAAGCACCGGCUAACUCUGUGCCAGCAGCCGCGGUAAUACAGAGGGUGCAAGCGUUAAUCGGAAUUACUGGGCGUAAAGCGCGCGUAGGUGGUUUGUUAAGUUGAAUGUGAAAGCCCCGGGCUCAACCUGGGAACUGCAUCCAAAACUGGCAAGCUAGAGUACGGUAGAGGGUGGUGGAAUUUCCUGUGUAGCGGUGAAAUGCGUAGAUAUAGGAAGGAACACCAGUGGCGAAGGCGAC
rnacentral:rRNA from 1 species